ensembl:lncRNA
CUGGCUGCAUGUGUCAUCUCAAACUCACUGAGAUCAGGAGCAUAUUAAGGGAAACUUUCCCUCCAUAUUUUCUGGGACAGCUGUAGAGAGUUGGAAGAGCCUCUGGUGGCAGCAGACAAGCCAUUGUUGCCUAUGCGGGCUAUGUGGCUUCAGGGGUGAGCAGAGUUCCCAGGAGGUUGCACAGACUUCUCCACCACCCUGUUACAGAGAUUCACCUCCAGACUGUGCUCAGCCGGACGAGGAGGAGGGAUAAGGCAGCACAAGGGGCAUUUGCAUGGGAGGAUUUUGCCAGUGGUGCAGUUGGUGGUCUGGUUCAGAGCACAGCAUGUGUUCCAUGGGUUGAGUCUAAGGGAAAGCAGGCUGGGAACUGGUGCUGGUGGAAACAUGGGGCCACACAGAGCAGCCAGGAUGGCUAGGCAGCUGCUUGUCACCCUUGCCUGCAGAGAGGAGAGACAGAGGAGUGCCAGGGUGAGAUCUGAGAGAGGAGCAGGGGCUGAGGCUCUGGAGGAAGCAAGAGGCACAGGUGUCCGCAGCCGGAGUGCCGGAGGGAGGGUCACCUCGCCAGCGUGGGCCCAGAUGGCACUGCACAUGUCUCAGCCCUUGCCGGAGCCGUGUCCACUGAGGCAGCACCUAAGGUAAUCACAAGAUCUUCUGCAGCAGAGAUGUGGAGCGGAAAGUAGUCACCAUCUUGAAGAGAAGCUGAAUGGAUUGAGGUACUGUGCAGCAUCAGGGCCUGGAAACAAGCACCUCCAGUGAAUGGCUGGAAGAAACUCAAGCCAGUCUGCAGAAGGACCAUUAAUUUGUUAUAUUAUUGGAAUGAUAUUCUUUCUAGUGAACAGAUUUUUAGGAGAGACACAGGUAGUGAGGUGACACAGGCCUGUGUUCAGGAGGUUGGUGUCUAGCCAACAGAUAGUCAGAUAAUCAAAAGACUGCAGAAACGCACUAAAGAAGCAGAUGUGUUCAGAAAAAGUCAUCUGAGCCUUUUCCACAGAGCCACCAGUGAGAUCAGACGUCAGAUAAAGUUAUGAUACAGCUGAUAAUGGCCAUUUGCAUUUAAAAUAUGCAUAGGACACUAGCUUGGUUGUAUUUUUUUUACUGACAUCUUCAACUGCAACUGAUUAUUGUAAUACUGGUUGGAGCACAGUUGCUCAAACCAAGUCUUAACAUGUCAUUAGGCAGCUGGACAGCAAUGGGCAGACCUUGCUAGUGAGCAGUCUUUUUGCUCUGUUUCACAGGUAAUAACACAUGAGCACAUUACAGAGUCAGGCUGCCGUUCUUGUAGGUUAAGAGGGAAAAAAAAAACCUCAAACGUUAACUUCAGUUUCUGAUGUGCUUAGCUUAAAGCAAAUCAUGGAGAAAGCAAGGAAUCAUAAGAAGUGCUAGGUAGCAUGCAAUGGUUUCCAGUGCUAUAGCUGUACACUACGCUGUGUAUAGCUAGAGCUGGAAAGAAGUCAUACUUUAUAAGGUUUGUAUUUCUUGGGAUUGGUGCAAGUAUCUGAGCAUGGCCCUCUCUUUUAAUCAUGGGUCAACAUAGCUCUUACACAUACACACAUUCAUGCAGCGUUUCUUCUUAAUGUUGACCAUUUCAAGCACCAGCUAACAUCAGAUAAGAAAAAAAAAAAAAAAGUGUAUUUAUUUGGUUCCAGGAUCUAUGAGGAAGCUUCUAACCCCACCCGAUUCCCUGCCCUACUCCACUCCCCAGCUCUACUCUCUGCUCAUGUCUAAACAUAUUUACAUGUCUGAAAGGAACUGGAAAGUAUCUGAAACGUUUCCCAGAGGAUCUGAUAGCUCUUCUCACACAAAGGCUUAUUUCCAAAUCAUUAUGCCACAGUAACAUUUCAGUAAGGGGCACCUCAGGAAAGGCUUCUGACAGUUUCAGUCUGCAGAUUCAACAGUUUCGCCACCUCACCUGAAAGAUAAACAUUUGGACAGAGAUAGUUUCAGUUAAUAUUGUCCUUUGCUUGAAGAGGUGAUAGAUCUGCAGUCCAUAUAAGACAGAUCAUCAAUAAGAUGGUAUUUGGAUAUAUACACUUUUACCACCGUUCAAAGUUCAUAAAACUCAGGAACAUCAUGUGGAUUUCUAAUGUUCCUUUGCAGGCUUUAAAUCCACAAAACCAUGAGUGAAUUGUUGUGAUUCAUAUGCCACUUUUAUUUUUGGCAGGCAAUGUUGAUAGUAUUGGAGAAAGAUUAUUUGAAUGAGAUCUGCAUCCACUUUCCUCAAAUCAGGACUGUGAAAAAAAAACUCAGAAAGGAGCUGUCAGCAGAAAUACAUACAAAUAUGUAUAAACUCAUACUCUGUAUGGGUUUGGACGGUACAAUUCCAGACAUGACAGAUGAGCAGGAUGAGCAGGACUUUCUGUAGUUCCUGUGGAAGGUUGGGCAAGCAAACAUCUGGGAAUGGACACUGAGGAAGAGGAAAUAUCUACAUGUCAGUAAUAUGAAAGUUAUAUUGUACACCUGCUUUUUAGACAUGCCAUCUGCGCUCAGUCAUACCAUAAUAUAGCUUUGAUGACAUGCCACAGCUAAAGGGCCGGCAAUAUACUUCUUGCUUCAUUGACAUGAGUGACACAACUCUGUAAAACUCACUGCUUAAUGAUAUAAAUCAUAACUCUCAUGGUAUAUGGUUGUCCCACACAUUUUUCAAUGCUUAAACCCACGCUAAGUAUUUUGCUGCUGAAAACACCGAAAGAGAAUUACGGUGGAAACUGAUGCAUGCCAGGUAAGCAAUAGCACCUUAUCUAUACUAAUGCUGAACUUCUCAUUAUAUUGUGUUGGCCUAUAAGUACACCGUAACAUCCAGUGGAUAUUGUUUACAAUGACCUAAUAACAAGCAAUUCUGUUCCCAUUACUGCUCACAGUCUCACAGUAAAUGUUUCUUGUUUCCACAGUAAACUGACUACAACUGAAAGGUACCACCGUGCUUUGUCAAAAGUUGAAUAAAUCUUGUAUUUAGAAAAGGAAAUGUGAUAUA